UCCUCGGUAGCUCAGCGGUAGAGCGGUCGACUGUUAAUCGAUUGGUCGCAGGUUCGAAUCCCGCCCGAGGAGC
rnacentral:tRNA from 1 species